GUGAGGCCUCUGAGGGGACCCGGCGGUGGCGGCCACGGCGAGACGGGCCGCCCACCAGUUGAACUCCGACAGCUGAGGCGGCUGAGGAGAUUAGACUCCAGAGAUAAUGAUAUUAGGAAAUCUAAACUGAAAUGGACCCCAGAGCAAUUGAAGAAAGAAAGAGUCAAGCUUCGAAGCUGUGGGAUGUCAGCACGGGCCAUUUGAUGAAGCCCUUCAGGUCUCGGCAGGAAGAAAGAAUGAAGAGAUCAUUAAAACCGAGAGCAUGUUUCCAAGAUCCAGAUUAUCACUCUCCAAAAGCAACUUGAGACCAUAAAACUCCUUCAACCUAUACUGGGGUAAUUCUAGUUGCCUUUACUUUGUUCUCUUUAUAGUAGUAAGCAGACAUAGAUGAUAUUAUUUGUUUACAAUUGUUCUUCCCCUCUCUGCCUUUACCAUGGAUUCUCCAUGUGUAGAAUAGACUUCCCCAAUCCAAGUGAUGUUUGGAUUGUUUAUAUGAUUUACUUUGACCAAUGAAAUGUGUACACAAUUGAGAGUAUGACGGUUUUGAGUUAAAAACCUCAAAGAAAUAUGGAAAGUUUCUGCCAAUACUCUUGCAAAUCUAUACUCUUUCAUGAGAAGAAUAUUAACUGUUGAGCAGCUGCUGGUUCCAGAAUGAAGAGACAUGCAAAAUGGACAUGCUGUCAAUUGUAGCCGGGAGCCAAGCCAGGCAAGCCCACUCAAGUCCAUUUGACCAACAUCUGACCUGUAGAUCUGUGAGAAAGAAAUAAAUAUUGUGGUUGUAAGCCAAUGAGAAUUAGAGAAGGGUCCUUGUAAGGCAGCAGUAAUGUAGAAAAUCUGAGUAAUAUAGCAGAAUAGUUUCACAGUGAUGGUCAAUAUCCAGAUGGGCUCCUUGGGAAAGAGGCUCUGAUUUGGUGAUGCAGUAAAGAUACUUAUGGUUUUGAGCAGAGGGUGGGGUUCAGAUAGUAUAAGAAGAUGAGUACCACAGAGAAUUUGUACCAAGGGUAACUCUUGAGAACAAUAAUAUCUGAGCCACAGAAGAAUGUUAGGCAAGAGCCCC
rnacentral:lncRNA from 1 species